rfam:Pichia guilliermondii ATCC 6260 scaffold_9 genomic scaffold, whole genome shotgun sequence.
AGGUUAUUCGAUUAGUGGUAAAAUCAUGGAUCUUACACAUCCAAGCCGUAGGUUCAAUUCCUACAUGACCUA